rnacentral:rRNA from 1 species
GAUGAACGCUGGCGGCGUGCCUAAUACAUGCAAGUCGAGCGAACGGACGAGAAUCUUGCUUUUCUGAUGUUAGCGGCGGACGGGUGAGUAACACGUGGAUAACCUACCUAUAAGACUGGGAUAACUUCGGGAAACCUGAUCUAAUACCGGAUAAUAUUUUGAACCGCAUGGUUCAAAAGUGAAAGACGGUCUUGCUGUCACUUAUAGAUGGAUCCGCGCUGCAUUAGCUAGUUGGUAAGGUAACGGCUUACCAAGGCAACGAUGCAUAGCCGACCUGAGAGGGUGAUCGGCCACACUGGAACUGAGACACGGUCCAGACUCCUACGGGAGGCAGCAGUAGGGAAUCUUCCGCAAUGGGCGAAAGCCUGACGGAGCAACGCCGCGUGAGUGAUGAAGGUCUUCGGAUCGUAAAACUCUGUUAUUAGGGAAGAACAUAUGUGUAAGUAACUGUGCACAUCUUGACGGUACCUAAUCAGAAAGCCACGGCUAACUACGUG